rnacentral:lncRNA from 1 species
AACAAAUUUGCAUGGGACAGCCAUUGAUCGUUUUAGCAGCCACGAUAACAAAACAGAGUACUGUAUCCGCAGUCAGAUACACAGGACAUCUUUAACAUCCCACAGCCACCACUUUCACGUCCUGGCUGCAACUUUCAAGCAAUAGGUGGUAACCGAUUGCCAUUAAUAGCAAUAACAACGCAUAAGAGGUGCCUCUACGGCCCGUUAGAGAGUAAUCAGAAGCAAAGCAAGGAAACCACCACCUCAAUGCCGCGGUCGCGAGGAUCUUACAAUUUAAAGGAGAGAGGGACGCUCCCAAGCGCGACUACAUGAACUUGGGAACCCUCAAGCGUUAGGCUCCUCCGCAAGGGGAGCUUCGACGUCGCCCAAGCCCUCCCGGCCCCUCCUCGCCCCACUCACUCACUCACCGAGAUGGAGGGUGAGGUUAAUGGUGUUGGGGUACUGGACGCCGGCCAGCAUGGUCUGGCUCUGCCACCAGGUGGUGUCGGCCUGGUUGUUGUAGUCGGUGAGGAAGGCGGCCCCGUGCUGCAGGUGAGGCUGCGAGGCGUCGCACAGGUGGCACGACUUGGUGACCCCCGUGACUCCCGUCUGCACGCAGUACUCCUCGGCCGGGGCGCCGCACGUGUUGGUGGCCACCACGGUGGCGUUGAAGGCGGCGUUGACGAACUCGGGCAUGCAGCGCUGGGGCCGCCCGCUCUGCUCGUCCACGCACUCGUCCAUGGCGCCGCCGCACAGCCCGCUCAGCAGCCCGAGCCAGAGCGGGAGCAGCAGCCCGAGAAGGCGCAGCCGGGCGUCCAUCCUGCCUGCCUGGUCUUCCGCGGGGAAAGCGAGAAGGGUGGCCUCCCUCCCUCCCUCCCGCGCGAGCAGCCGGCCGCUCCCUUCCUCGCCUUGCCGCCUUCCAGAGGAAGCGGACGCGGGCCCGGCUGGUUGCCGCUGCAGCUGGAGCAGGAGGAGGAGGAGGAGUCGCACACACACACACAACGAGGCUGUAGCAAGGAAACAUAGAAGUCUUGCCGAAAGAUGCUUCAUCAACUGCUAGUGUAGGAAGCCUUGAAACUAGUGUGAUCAGUUGGGCUCCUUGCUGUGCUACUGCUCCGCCUUCCAGGGAUUAGCACAAGAGCGUCUGAGCUGAUCUCUCUGAACACCCUGAUCCUUAGCACACUGUGCGAAAGUAAGUACUACUCCUUUCACAAAGGUUUUUUCCUAUGAUUGCUUGGAUCAAUAUUGCAAGGCUUUUGGCUCAUGCAGGGACAUAAAGGAAG